GAUGAACGCUGGCGGCGUGCCUAAUACAUGCAAGUCGAGCGAACAGACGAGGAGCUUGCUCCUCUGACGUUAGCGGCGGACGGGUGAGUAACACGUGGAUAACCUACCUAUAAGACUGGGAUAACUUCGGGAAACCGGAGCUAAUACCGGAUAAUAUAUUGAACCGCAUGGUUCAAUAGUGAAAGACGGUUUUGCUGUCACUUAUAGAUGGAUCCGCGCCGCAUUAGCUAGUUGGUAAGGUAACGGCUUACCAAGGCAACGAUGCGUAGCCGACCUGAGAGGGUGACCGGCCACACGGGAACUGAGACACGGCCCCGACUCCUACGGGAGGCAGCAGUAGGGAAUCUUCCGCAAUGGGCGAAAGCCUGACGGAGCAACGCCGCGUGAGGGAUGAAGGUCUUCGGAUCGUAAAACUCUGUUAUUAGGGAAGAACAAAUGUGUAAGUAACUAUGCACGUCUUGACGGUACCUAAUCAGAAAGCCACGGCUAACUACGUG
rnacentral:rRNA from 1 species